GAUGAACGCUGGCGGCGUGCCUAAUACAUGCAAGUCGAGCGAACAGAUGAGGAGCUUGCUCCUCUGACGUUAGCGGCGGACGGGUGAGUAACACGUGGAUAACCUACCUAUAAGACUGGGAUAACUUCGGGAAACCGGAGCUACUACCGGAUAAUAUAUUGAACCGCUUGGUUCAAUAGUGAAAGACGGUUUUGCUGUCACUUAUAGAUGGAUCCGCGCCGCAUUAGCUAGUUGGUAAGGUAACGGCCUACCAAGGCAACGAUGCGUAGCCGACCUGAGAGGGUGAUCGGCCACACUGGAACUGAGACACGGUCCAGACUCCUACGGGAGGCAGCAGUAGGGAAUCUUCCGCAAUGGGCGAAAGCCUGACGGAGCAACGCCGCGUGAGUGAUGAAGGUCUUCGGAUCGUAAAACUCUGUUAUUAGGGAAGAACAAAUGUGUAAGUAACUAUGCACGUCUUGACGGUACCUAAUCAGAAAGCCACGGCUAACUACGUG
rnacentral:rRNA from 1 species